GACUUACAUCCAGCUACGUAUCCUUUAGACCCUUCGCCCGCAUGAAACGGGGGUCAAUAAGCUCUCUUUUAAUCAUUCACUUCCAUUGUUACAAGAUUGCAGAGAAGGAUGUUGCAAUAUAAAUUUGUUGCACUACGAUCUUUGAGUAACUAUAUUUAUAAAUCGUGUGCUUAAACAUAGACAUAAAACAUCAUCUUGACAAGCUACUGCUGUUUUAUAGAACCAAAUAAUUCCUUGAAUGAACGUUUAGGGGCAUCAGUACGAGCUACUAUCUCCACGACUUUGUAAUGAGAUUCUGGACGGAGUAGUGCCUCAACUGCUACUUCAGCUACCUGAUCUCUAGAUAUCGAGCCUUCGUAAAGGGUAUCCUCUUGUUCCAUUACGAUGUUUCCUUGAGGUGGAUCGUUUUUUAGCCCACCAGGCCUUAUUAUUGUGUAAUUGAUGCCAGAUCUUCGAAUAUAUUGCUCUGCUUGGAGCUUUGCUAUCAAUGUCAGUCCAAGAACAUUGAGAAAUACAUAUGCUGGAUUGAACAACUGUCCCAUUGCAGCUCCAUUGACUAGAAUGGAACUAACGAGGAGGAAUCUUUUAACACCAAGUGUUCGGCAUGCUUCAACAAGGUUUACUGUGCCAAAGUUAUCAACCUUCCAUGGAGCCAAAAAAUCCAGUGAACGCCGAAAUCCUGUAGCACAUAUUACUGCAUCUGAAUCAUUCCCAAUGGCAUCAGCUAGUCUUACUGAUCCCUCUGUGACAUCCGCUUUCACAAUUUGAAGAUCAGGGUUUUGACCCGGUAAGGUUGAUUUAGCCUUAUCAACAUCAAGAACCCCAGCCUUAACAGCAAAACCCUUUGCCAGAAGCUGCUCAACAAUCCUCUUCCCAGUGUUCCCAGUCGCACCAGCAACAAAUAUUUUCUUCUUUUCACUGAUACCCACUUCCUCUUCUCCUUCAAUUUCACUUUUUUCUAUAUUUGCUGCUCUGAGCCGAAAAGAGUGAACUUUAUUGACAAAAAGAGAAACAGAGGGCCGUUUAGAGGUGAUAGAAAAGGCCGAUGUUUUAAGGAAGAAGAGACCAGUGGCAGUAGCCAUGAUUUUUCUUACUCGAG
rnacentral:misc_RNA from 1 species